rnacentral:pre_miRNA from 1 species
AUCACCUGGGCAUCUUGUUAAAAUGCAGAUCCUGCUUCAGUAGGUCUGGGUUUGGCCUGAGAGUCUGUAUUUUUAACAACGUCCCAGGUGAUGCCGA